UACGUAGGGGGCUAGCGUUGUCCGGAAUCAUUGGGCGUAAAGCGUCUGUAGGUGGCUUUUCAAGUCCGCCGUCAAAUCCCAGGGCUCAACCCUGGACAGGCGGUGGAAACUACCAAGCUGGAGUACGGUAGGGGCAGAGGGAAUUUCCGGUGGAGCGGUGAAAUGCAUUGAGAUCAGAAAGAACACCAACGGCGAAAGCACUCUGCUGGGCCGACACUGACACUGAGAGACGAAAGCUAGGGGAGCAAAUGGG
rnacentral:rRNA from 1 species